UCUGAGGUGGCGACCGGCGCACGGGUGAGUAACACGUAUGCAACCUGCCUGUAAGCGGGGAAUAACCCGUCGAAAGACGGACUAAUACCGCAUAAUACUAAAUUACUGCAUGGUAAUUUAUUUAAACAUUUAUGGCUUACAGAUGGGCAUGCGCAUGAUUAGCUAGUUGGAGAGGUAACGGCUCCCCAAGGCAACGAUCAUUAGGGGUUCUGAGAGGAAGGUCCCCCCACACUGGUACUGAGACACGGACCAGACUCCUACGGGAGGCAGCAGUGAGGAAUAUUGGUCAAUGGACGAGAGUCUGAACCAGCCAAGUCGCGUGCAGGAAGAAUUGUCCUAUGGAUUGUAAACUGCUUUUGCAGGGGAAUAAAGUGCAUCACGUGUGAUGUUUUGUAUGUACUCUGCGAAUAAGGAUCGGCUAACUCCGUGCCAGCCGCCGC
rnacentral:rRNA from 1 species